rnacentral:rRNA from 1 species
UAACGCAUAAGUUAUCCGCCUGGGGAGACGGCCGCAAGGUUAAAACUCAAAGGAAUUGACGGCCACAAGCGUGGAGCAUGUGGUUUAAUUCGAAGCAACGCGCAGAACCUUACCAGCGUUUGACAUGGUAGGACGACUUCCAGAGAUGGAUUUCUUCCCUUCGGGGACCUACACACAGGUGCUGCAUGGCUGUCGUCAGCUCGUGUCGUGAGAUGUUGGGUUAAGUCCCGCAACGAGCGCAACCCUCGACUUUAGUUACCAUCAUUAAGUUGGGUACUUUAAAGUAACCGCCGGUGAUAAGCCGGAGGAAGGUGGGGAUGACGUCAAGUCCUCAUGGCCCUUACGCGCUGGGCUACACACGUGCUACAAUGGCAAGUACAGUGGGCAGCAAUCCCGCGAGGGUGAGCUAAUCUCCAAAACUAUCUCAGUUCGGAUGUGUCUGCACUCGCAAGCUGAUCGCAAUCAGUACGAACAAACAAGAAAA